rnacentral:rRNA from 1 species
AACGAACGCUGGCGGCGUGCUUAACACACGCAAGUCGAACGCGAAAGGGACUUCGGUCCUGAGUAAAGUGGCGCACGGGUGAGUAACGCGUAGAUAACCUGUCUUCAUGUCUGGAAUAAUACGCCGAAAGGGGUACUAAUACCGGAUAUUCUUGCUUUUCAUAAGUUAUGCAAGCAAAGGUGGCCUCUGCAUAUGCUACUGCAUGAAGAGGGGUCUGCGUACCAUUAGCUAGUAGGUGGGGUAAUGGCCUACCUAGGCGACGAUGGUUAGCGGGUCUGAGAGGAUGAUCCGCCACACUGGCACUGGAACACGGGCCAGACUCCUACGGGAGGCAGCAGUGAGGAAUAUUGCGCAAUGGGGGAAACCCUGACGCAGCGACGCCGCGUGAGUGAAGGAAGGCCUUCGGGUCGUAAAGCUCUGUCAAGAGGAAAGAAGUGUACAAUGGCUAAUACCUGUUGUAUUUGACGGUACCUCUAAAGGAAGCACCGGCUAACUCCGUGCCAGCAGCCGC